GACGAACGCUGGCGGCGUGCCUAAUACAUGCAAGUCGAACGAGAGCAACCGGUGCUUGCACUGGUCAAUCUAGUGGCGAACGGGUGAGUAACACGUGGGAACCUGCCCAUCAGAGGGGGAUAACAUCCGGAAACGGAUGCUAAAACCGCAUAGGUCUUCGAACCGCAUGGUUUGAAGAGGAAAAGAGGCGCAAGCUUCUGCUGAUGGAUGGACCCGCGGUGCAUUAGCUAGUUGGUGAGGUAACGGCUCACCAAGGCCGUGAUGCAUAGCCGACCUGAGAGGGUGAUCGGCCACAUUGGGACUGAGACACGGCCCAAACUCCUACGGGAGGCAGCAGUAGGGAAUCUUCCGCAAUGGACGCAAGUCUGACGGAGCAACGCCGCGUGAGUGAAGAAGGUUUUCGGAUCGUAAAACUCUGUUGUUAGAGAAGAACAAGUGCUAGAGUAACUGUUAGCGCCUUGACGGUAUCUAACCAGAAAGCCACGGCUAACUACGUG
rnacentral:rRNA from 1 species